rnacentral:rRNA from 1 species
UACGUAGGGCGCAAGCGUUGUCCGGAAUUAUUGGGCGUAAAGAGCUCGUAGGUGGUUUGUCGCGUCUGCCGUGAAAGCCCGGGGCUUAACUCCGGGUCUGCGGUGGAUACGGGCAGACUAGAGGCAGGUAGGGGAGAACGGAAUUCCCGGUGUAGCGGUGAAAUGCGCAGAUAUCAGGAAGAACACCGAUGGCGAAGGCAGCUCUCUGGGACGGUACUGACGCUGAGACGCGAAAGCGUGGGGAGCGAACAGG